rnacentral:misc_RNA from 1 species
GCUUUGGGGGUCUCAUCGCAAAGAAAACGUGGGAAGAGGAGGUGCGCUUGUGAAUCACAGCAACCGCAGCAGCGGAAACGCGAGAGCAGAGCCGAGUUGGCGCGACGGAACUCCGGCGCCAACACCGAAAACCAAACGACAGAGGGUCUUUUGCUCUUCUGCUCGCUGUAUUUUCACAGUACUUUAUGUCGCAGCUCAGCGCUAGUCCGCGCGAGGAGCCCGUGGGCAUCCCGGAGCUCUUCGUGCAGUAUCUCAAGGCGAAGGAUUUCAGAGAGCAGCUGGCCAUCGUUCAUGCCCAUCCUGCGCUAUUCACAGAUGACGUCGUAGCCGCCCUGAAGGAUGCUCGUGCGCAGAUAAACGAGACGUUCGUGGAGGUGAAGGAGGCCUUCCGAAUCAUCGAUGCGGUCUCUGGCAGCCUCCAAUACACGGGAACAAGCGUGCAGCUUCAGCAGAGCGAGGUAAAGGAGGUGCUGAGCGAAGAAGCUAUUCUCAAAAACUUUGCCGCCUCUUUAGCGGGUCUCUUGAGGGCAGGGGAAACGGCUGGGCCAGCGGCGCCAUCCACAAUCUCUUCUCUUUCGACCGCCUGUCGUGUCUCAAGCAGUCUGGGUGCGGGCCAGUCACAGUCGCCGGGGGCGUGGUUCACGCAACCGUCUCUUGUUUUCUCUGUUCUGGCGUUCCUGCCGGCAGAGGAGAUCUUUAUGGCAGCAGAAAACGUCUGUCGAGCGUGGCAGACGUGGCUCUUCCUGCCAGACAUGUCCCGAUUUUUCUGGGUCGGCUGCGUGCAGCGCGAAUUCCCAGAGCAGCUGCAGGUGGCGCUGCAGACCGCCGGCGACGAUCUCUACGAGAGCGACUGGCGGUCGCUUGCCAUGCUGUGCGUGACGGAGGCCGAGCAGGCGGCAGAAGCGGAAGAGGCAGAGGAGGUGGGGACGGAGGGGCUUUUGAGGGGUGUUGUGCCGUUUCUUUGACGACAGGUGCGCUUGCUUGCUAACGCUGGAGAUGGCGCUGCUUGAUCGUCCGUCUCACCUCUCAUCUUCUCCCGCACAACCCCACCACGCUCUCGGGAGCAAGAGAAGCGCCCCACACGCACGUGCAAGAAUCACCAAGGCCCGAUGGUGCGGGUCUUGCCAUGCAGAAGCUGUGGCUCGGCCACGUGACUCUCAUGCAAGACAAAGCCCAAGAAAGAGUUCGCGCUGCCCUACCAGCACUCCAAUCAGAGGUGAGGCAUGCAACGGUUCAACGCCGCUUCGACAUUGCUGAAGGUGCGACUUUGACAGGGGCAUGCGCUCAUCGCCUCUACGCCUUGCCCAUCUACACAUCCUUCUCCUUAGCGUUCUCUUGCGCGUCUGGUGUGCCAUCGUCUUGCUUUUUUUUUGCGCGUUGCACUUUCUGGAGGAGAAAGAGGAAGGGGGAGGGGCUCUCUCCUGCUUCGCUUUCGCCUCUUUGAGCUCUGCGUGGCGCACACCGAACCGGGAGUACUGUUGUCCUUUUCAUGGCUUCUCCCUUGGUUGACAGCGUUCAGGAGCACACGUCCAGCAGGCAUGCACGCGUAUACCGAGAGAGACGCAGUAACGGUGCGCCGCCGUGUUUUUUGUUGUUUUGUUUCCUCUCUGUUCUCCGUCCCCUCACGUUGUUCGCUCUCUAGUGUGUCGCCGUGACACGCUCCAUGGUCGUGGCGGCCAAUAUAUUCUCCCCUCCCCUAAAAAAGAAAAAAGGGCGUUCAACAAAGUUCUAAUCUUCGCCCCGUGUGCGCGUGUGCUUGUACGUUUGUGGCUGCUCCUAGGUAAAGACCCUCUUGCCGUUCCUACCUCUGCUCGGCGCGUCAUUACACACCCACCUAACCAUCGAUCACCCCAAUCACCCUCUCCUCUCUCCCUUUUUCCUUGCUUCAUCGCCUCUUUCUUUUUCGGCGCAG